AGUGGACUCUGAUAUUACUUGUGUAGGAUAGCUGGGAGGCUUUGAAGCGUGGACGCUAGUCUGCGUGGAGCCAAUCUUGAAAUACCAGCCUGGUAAUAUUGGGGUUCUAACUCAGGUCCCUCAUCGGGAUCGAGGACACUGUGUGGUGGGUAGUUUGACUGGGGCGGUCUCCUCCCAAAGAGUAACGGAGGAGCACGAAGGUUUGCUAAGUACGGUCGGACAUCGUACGGUUAGUGUAAUGGUAGAAGCAAGCUUAACUGCGAGACGGACAUGUCGAGCAGGUACGAAAGUAGGUCAUAGUGAUCCGGUGGUUCUGUAUGGAAGGGCCAUCGCUCAACGGAUAAAAGGUACUCCGGGGAUAACAGGCUGAUACCGCCCAAGAGUUCAUAUCGACGGCGGUGUUUGGCACCUCGAUGUCGGCUCAUCACAUCCUGGGGCUGAAGCCGGUCCCAAGGGUAUGGCUGUUCGCCAUUUAAAGUGGUACGCGAGCUGGGUUUAGAACGUCGUGAGACAGUUCGGUCCCUAUCUGCCGUGGGUGUAGGAUACUUGAGAGGAGUUGCCCCUAGUACGAGAGGACCGGGGUGAACGAACCACUGGUGGACCUGUUGUGGC
rnacentral:rRNA from 1 species